UGGGUAACCUGCCUCAAAGAGGGGAAUAGCCUCCCGAAAGGGAGAUUAAUACCGCAUAAUAUGUUUAAGUCGCAUGACUUUAACAUCAAAGGAUUUUCUUCGGAACUUCCACUUUGAGAUGGACCCGCGGCGCAUUAGCUAGUUGGUGAGGUAACGGCUCACCAAGGCAACGAUGCGUAGCCGACCUGAGAGGGUGAUCGGCCACAUUGGAACUGAGACACGGUCCAGACUCCGUAGGGAG
rnacentral:rRNA from 1 species